rnacentral:lncRNA from 1 species
GUAGUUAAAGUGAAAAGACGUCGUUGUAUUCCCGGAACACUUAUGGUCCGAUACAAAAUUAGUAACUUACAUUUGUUUGUAUAUAUUGUCCUCUGACAAGUAAGUACGUUUAUCAUUUACUAUUCGACAUUACUUUCUAUGUACUAAUUAUAUUCAAUUAUUGAAUUCUACAAUUUGUUUAAACUCAAAUUAUGUCGCUUUUUUUUCUUUAAAUUGUUUUUGUUUUAAAUGUGUGUAAUGUCAUUGUUAGUCCGUAAUACCAUAUGUUAUACUUAUCCAAGUAAGGAAUAUGCCAGUUGUGAUCCGAUCGUUUGAGGUGUUUGAGCUUUGAUUUUGACAUUCGAUUACGGACUUUCCGUUUUGAAUUUUCUUCAGAGUUCCGGAUUUUUUUUUUUAUUUAGGUCAUUUAAGAGGACAAUUCAAUUAUAAAUCAAUCAGAAUAUGACUUAUAUGACCUGUUAUCUUUCUACCUAAGCUUUCCAGUUAGUGUUUUAUACAAUAAUCACAAUAGUCUUCUGUCCAUGCAGGAUACCGCUGGACUACGAUUGAUUAUACAAUAACUACUAGUUGUACUCUUUUAAUCAACAACAUGCAUACAUAUAAAGUUAUGCACCCGUCUUAUUUGACAUUGAGUUCAUUUGUAUCCAAUGUGUAUGAAGGCUGUUUUUUUUUAUUGUUUUCUUUUUUUGAGUCAUUUGUUUGGGGGGGGGAAGGGUUUUAACAUUAUCGUUUUACAUUUUUCAUAUCUAAAUUAGACAGCAAUACAAUAUAAGAUAAUGUUUGGCUUUGAGCGUUCCUGAUGAAGGUUAAUCCAGAAAAUCGCUUCAGACGCAAUACAUUAUUGAACCUGUUGUUUUCCAUUUUUUGAACGAGAUGUAAAAUUAACGUUAUUUAUACCAAUAUCAAGUGUCGCGUCUUUCGAACAAAACUUAAGAUUAUCUUUCCAUCGUAACAAACGAUACCUUACGUUAUGGUCUUCAAUAUUAUGUUUUCAAUCAUCUUGUCUUUGUUGCAUCAUUGACGUUUCAAAUUAACAUCACGUCAACAUUAAACGGACUCUAUAUUAAAUUAAAUAUAACCUUUUUUUGCUAUUCCUUAUUCUAAUUGCCAAAAACGUAAAAUAGCCAGUCGUUUUACUAGAAGUGCGUAUAGCUAGAAAUAUUAUAAAAGAAUUAGUAGAUCGGAAAAGAUAAUUAACUUGCGACUUAUGUCCUAUAUCUUUUGUAAAAACUAAUACCCAGUAAUGAGUUAUGCAAAAAUUGUUGAAAAUUUAACCUGAUUAUAAUUAUAAUGGUUCUUUUUUUAGAUACUGUUUCUUCCUUCAACGAUGAUCUCCAAACAAUCUUUAGCAAUCACUUUGAUUUGGUAAGUUUCUGUAAUAAUGAGUAGUGCAAACAUCGCAACAGCUGGUGAUCCUAUAAAACGAAUUACCAAAAAUUAUUACAGACAUAAGGCUUCAAAUGUCAGGAUGCCGUUGCAUAGAUAAAGGCAACAGUAGUAUACCGCUGUUCAAAAUUCAUAAAUCGAAAGAGAAAAAAACAAAUUCGGGUUCCAAACUGAAACUGAGGGAAACGCAUCAAUUAUAAGAGAACUACGACACAAUAGAGACAAACACCGAAAUGUAACACACACAGAAACGAACUAUAAUGUAACAAUGGCCAUUUUGGGCGUUUUGUCUACACAAUACACGUCAGUGGCAAUCAUGUCAAAUCAAUUUGUGAGACCACACGAAGAGCAGUAAAACCCAUAGUUUUCAAAAAGAGUUUCCUUAUCUAAAUCAAGCUAUGUAUACAUGAAGAUAGCACAUUCUUAGUAAGGUUUGUGAAACCCUGGUGAAGAAACUUCACUCAUCAGUGUCAUUAAGCAAGCCGGUUGUAAAAUUAUAUAACCAGAUAGAUACCAUACUUACUUGUACAAACCCAUAUUGCGUAGAAAGCUAUUAAAGACCAAUAUUUUCCGAACGUAAAACAAUUCAAACGAGAAAACUAACAGCUCGAUUUAUGUUAUAAAACAAGAAAAAGAAAAAUAUAAGAUAAAUAACAAAACGAUCAACUCUGGAUUUCAAGCUCAUGACUUUGGAAUUAACCUAUUGAAAGCCGCGGAAUUUAAUAGGUUUGCGGAUGCCUAACCAUCUUCUAUAUAUCCUGUGGCAGUGGUAUAAAAGAAAAACAUAAGAACAAACUUUAAGCAAAUCAGUUGAAAAGGAUUUUAAUUCAUCGGACAGAUCAAAAUGACAAAAACAAAAAAAGAACACACGAAGUAUCGAUGUGAGAGUACUAGAUUAUAAACACUAAAGUCGGAACUUGGAAUAUCUAUAGUAUGCAAUUUAUAUCAUACUUAUUUUUAAUACAUAUUUUUAGUAAAACAAAUUUCUAAAAAAAAUAAAUUAGGGUAUCACGUGUUUUAAAAUUUGACUUUAUGAUUGUUGAAUGGAAAUGUCCGAAUUUCUUUAAUAAUUGGUGAUAUGUGAUUAAUCGGUUGAUACUGCAUUGGCAUGGUGCCUUCGAAGAUUGGAGAAGGCUUUUGAGUGGAUAGCUACCUUAUAUAUAUUUGUUUAUCAUUAAAAGUUCUAGUACAAUUACUUGUCAUGAUAAUAUGUUUUUUUUUAGAUUACUAGUAUACUAUCAAAUAUUUUUCAGGGUCUCCAAGUUUCUGUUGGUAAGAAAUUGCAAUAUCUAGUAUAUGAUGAAAAAACAAAUACAAACUCAACUAAAAACACAGGUUUUUGUACAUGUUCGUAACACAUUACUAAAUUUGGAAUUCAAGAAUUCGAAGGAAAUACUUAUUUGACGCCUUGUCUAUGAAACCCCUUUUCCUAACCCGGGUAUUAUGUAUAAGAACAAUACAUAAAACGUACACACAAUAACAUAAGAAUGUAGUAUGACACAGUUUUCUCAUGAAUUCACUUUUUGAUGUCCCAAAUCGAACAUUUGACGUUUUAUCGAUGUAUAGUAGAGUGUAAGAUAUAUUCGACUUGCCAUUUAUAACGACUUGCAUAACACUUAAAACGACUUGCAUAACACUUCAAACAAAGCAUAGUAAAUGUUUACACUCCUUAUAGAACUAAAACAAUUCAAACCUUAUGUAGUAUUUGACUCUUAACCCUUGAUAUUUGACCUAGAGCAUCACUGAAGAGUCAUUGAUUGACGAAUUUCGCAUCUGGUGCAGACAAAUUGGGGCCGUUUAUAUUAUCAAAAAGAUAUCAAUUAUAUAAAAACAAAAAUCAAAAUAUAUUUUAUGAAGUUUACACAAGGAAAAAGGCUUGUGCGUCUAAAUGCUAACCACUUUUUAUAAAAUAAAUUAAAUUCACCAAACAGAUAAUCAAAAGAACCCAAAAAGAACCACAACCACUAGUUCAUUACGUCGGCGUAUUGAUAAAUAUCAUAAAAUAUAAGUUAAAUGUGCCAUCGUUUAAUCGUUUAAAAUCAUAUUAACUUUCCAUACACUAACUGUCGUAUGAAUUACACACUUUUGAUUAUACUGUUUCUUUUCAAGUUUGUAGAAUGUCAAAACUGCAACUUGAGCAUUGAAGAUCCUGAAUGGAAAAAAAUGUGGUAUCUUGUAAGUAAACCAGUAAGAAAUUAUCAUUUGAUACUUGUUUAGUGUUGACAAUGCAAUACACAUGAAAAUACGGAUUUUUUGUGUUAUUAAAAUUUGCUGUUACAAAAUUAUUAUGAAUUAAGAAAUGUAUCUCCCUCAUGCAAAGCUCUGAUUCCUUUCACGGAUUUGACUAUACUUUUUGGCACUUUUGAAAUAUAGCUCUUCAUCUUUUUUGAAAGCUUUGGAUUUCAAAUAAUUUGGGCACGAGCAUCACUGAAGCGAGUGAAGAUACAUGUAUUGUCGAAAUGCGCAGAGCCUUAGAGGCAUAAAACUUUGCUCAGUGCUCGGAGCACAAAAAUCAUGCUCGAAAAAUGAAAUCCAGCAAUUUGAUUGGUUGAUUUCCGAGUCUGAGUACAAAAAUCAUGCUCGAAAGUUUUAUGACCGUGAGGCCUGGCAUGAAAAUACAGAUUUGUUGUGUUAUUAAAAUUUGCUGUUAUAAAAUGUUAGAAAUUAUUAUAAAUUAAGGAAUGUAUCUCCCUCAUGCAAACCUCUGAUUCCUUUCACGGAUGUGGUUAUACUUUUUGGACCUUUUGGUUUAAAGCUGUUCAUCUUUUUUAUAAGCUUUGGAUUUCAAAAUUUUUUGAUGAACUGUGCCAUAUUGCUUACUUUUUUUAAAAUAUUUCAAGCAUAACACAAAUUCAGGGAUUUUUUCCUCAAUGAUGUGUUUUUAAUGUUUUACGACUAUCUUUUAGCACAAUCCCAGGACAAAAAGAUAUGACAUGAACGUACUAACAGCUUGGGAAAGCUGUGUAAAUGGUACUGGUGUAACUGUGGGUGUAGUCGACAAUGGCAUACAGGACCACACAGACCUUAACAUUGUGAGUAGAUUUUCUUGUUAUCUGUCCACUGCUGUACAUGUUGUUCUAAUUUUGUAAAUCAUGAAUGUGACAUUAUAUCAUCAUGUCAUUACGAGCAGUUUUUGUUCUCUAUUUUAUUGGACAUUUACGAAAAUCGGGUUUCAUCCAAGUUUCACUCCAUCGGUAUUUCGAAUAAAGCCGACACGUUUAUAUUGAUUGAUUGAUUGACUUUUGCUUAAUAUUCUGAUGAAAAUAUAUCAUAGUUUUUCAAAACAAUUGUACAAACAAUCUAAUACAUAAGUUCUCCGACGGUCGUCGACUAUAAUAAUGAGAGGGAGUUCAAGGAUGGCACAAUAACUCGAAAAAGAAAAUACUUUUGAUAAAGAAAGUUUUUGUGUCUAUUUACAUGCCAUGAAAAAAAUUCAACUCAAAGAGAUGUUCAAGACAUGCAGGUAAAAUGAUCAAACUGCAAUCAGCAUUAGAAAAAUUAAGAAACUGUAGGAAAUGUCAAUAGAAAUAUUCUAGAAGUACAUUUCUAUUUGUGAUUUCAAGUGUCAUUGCUUUUCCAGAUAAAAAGAGUUAUUCAAAUGUGUUAUUGCAUUAGAGCAAUAAUUGUAUUCUAAUUUCCUCUCUAACUAAUCUGGCAUUGUUUAGCCUUUAUUGCAUAAAUAUUUUUGUUAGUACAAGGCAUUUACCCUCAUAUAUCCUCAUGUGUAACUGCAGCUUAAUGAUUAUAAACACUAAAGUAUGCAUCUCGUGUGGCACUGCGAAUGUCUUACUGACGGCCGUCUUCUUUGUCCAAUAAAAGAAGCAGGCACAACAUUAAUGGUAUCUUAUAGCGUUUCGUAAACUGAUGAAGAAUAUAGUGUCUUAAUCGUAAGAUACUAGCAGCAUUGUUCUUCUAUCAUACCAUCUGGUACAAUUUAUAUUGUUUGUUCCGUCAAUAUCACUUUCACACAAUAAUUCUUUUUUUUUUAGGAUAGGAAUCUGAAUGCUGGGUAUACAAACAAAAGUAAACUAGCAAAUCCAUCUCGGUAAGUCAACAUGCAUAUUAUAAAAUUGAGAAUGGAAAUGAGAAAUGUGUCAAAAAGACAACAACCCGACCAUAGAACAGACAACAGCAGAAUGUCACCAAUAAGUCUUUAAAGUUAGUUUAAAAAUAUGUUCAUUAAAAUAAAACGGCUAUUAGUUGAUAACAAAGUUUGUGACUUUGUUUUAUUUGUUUAAAUUAGAAAUGGUAAGAUAUGAGACGUUGGAAAGUUUGUGAGAAAAACGAUAAACAUUAAAUAAAAUGGUACUGGUAUGACAAAAAUGUUGUGUUUUUUUUUUAUAUCAUGAUUAAAGGUAGAUAACUAGUAUAUAAAAUGCGUGCUUUGUGACUAAUAUUCAAAUGUGUGCAUUUGUUUCAGGUCACGACAGUCAUUUUGGGUAAGCAUUCAAAGUUUAUCUCAAGUAAUUGAAUUUGUUUAAGAAUUUGUUCUUCCAAGUGUUCCACUUAACCCCUAUAUAAAGUUCUUACUGCCAUACUCAAUGCAGUUAAAGAAGGACUUAAGAAAUAUUCUGAAACGGCAUAUUCAAGAAGUGGUGUUAAUCAAAUGUGGAUACUGAAAAAUUCAAAAAAGUUAUUGGUGAAUUUACAAUCUCAAUCAUUAACAAAUUAUACCAACAUUAAAACCUUUGAUUUUUCAACUCUUUAUACCACUAUUCCACAUACUAAACUUAAAGCUCGACUAAAAAAGAACUCGUCAGCUUAUAUUUCCUUAACAAAAAGGGCACUAGAUGUUUUAAAUAUUUAGUUUUUGCCAGGAAUUAUACAGAGUCAAGCAAAAAAUACACCAAAGCAGAUAUCACUGCCAUGCUGGACUUUUGAAUUGACAACAUAUUUGUUGAAUUUGGAGGUUUGGUUUUCCAACAGACUAUUAGACUCCCAAAUGGGUACCUAUUGCGCUCCUCUACUUGCACAUUUGUUUUUGUAUUCCUAUGAAGCAGAAUUUAUCCAAGGGCUUGUACAGAAAGGAGAAAAGAAAUUAGCCCAGUAUUUUAAUUUCACCUUUCGCUAUAUUGAUGAUGUACUGUCUCUUAAUAAUACUAGAUUCAGUGAUCACUUACAUUUAAUAUAUCCAAGUGAACUUGAAAUUAAAGAUACUACCAACACAGAUAAAUCUGCUUCAUAUUUAGUCCUUUUUCUCGAAAUGACUACUGAUGGUAGGUGAAAUACCAAAAUUGAUGACAAACGCGAUGAUUCUAACUUUCCCUUUCUGUGUAGCAACAUCCCAGCGGCACCAGCAAUUGGGGUAUAUGUGUCUCAAAUGAUACGUUACUCUAGAGCUAGCUCAAAGUACGUUGAUUUUGUUGAACGAGGAAUACUGCUUUCUCAAAAGUUGCUAAACAGGGCUAUGAAUCAAUAAAAUUACGGUAGCCAUCAUGAGAUGAUUGGCCAUCAUGACAAAAGUGUGUCAGAAAUCAUAUCUGAUAUUCUUCCUCAGUCACUAUAACCUUCCAACAUUACCGAACUGUUCAAAGAAAUAACAGGACGGGUACCGUAUACGGUGCAGGAAAUGCUUACCCUUCCGGAGCACCUGGUUUCACUCACGGAUUUUAGUGGAGUUCGUGUUGUUUCUUAUUUAUUAUUUAUAACUGUUGAUGUAAAUGUCCUUUGGUUUUGUGAGUCUUUGUUUACUCCUUGGUUUUGAUUGUUAUUGUCUUCGUAAGGUCAUAUUAUUAUUACUUCACCAAUUGCCAUAAAAAUCUUUGAACGUAGUAUUAGUAUAUUUUGCUACUUGAAAAUUAAACAAUUAAACACACCUCAUCUGAAAAUCAAUGAGUCUUUGAAAUCUAGAAAUAACAAAAACAAAUCGAAGAUAAGAAAAAAUAAAUCGAGAAUAUUUAUUAAAUUAAAAGAUGUUAUGUCAAGAGUCACACUUAAGCUGUUAAACUUGUUAGUGUUUGAUGUACCUACAAUAAAUAACCAAAUUUUCCAGAAAUAAAAUAAUUGAGAUGUGUUCUUAGUGCACUAAUCGAAACACGCCUGAGAUGUUAUUUGUUAUCAGUAGCACCGCUGCCUUAUUCAACUAUCAAAACAUGGACAAUGUUUGUUCAUCAGCUUUUCAAUAUGAAUAGUUCUGAUGCAUAUAACAUAGAAAUUCUGCUGAUAUGUAUUCUAAUCCCUUUACAUUUACUUUUGAUCUCUUUAAACAAUUUACUUUUCUAUGUUAAGAGCAAACACUAUAAUGCAAGUACCUAAAAUGUUAUUACAAUAGCUAAUACUGUCUUAUUUUCCUUCGUAGGGGUCAUCACUGGCAUCUUCACAUCAUCACGAUCAUCACUUCAAAUAAAUAGUAUUCAUAUGUAUUAUAAAUAAACACAAAUAUACCGUAUACCGAGAAAACAUAUGUAUAUGUAGGACUUAGAUCGACGUCCAUUCAUCAAAUCGACGUCCAAAUCGGACGUCACAAUAAAAUAACAUUCCAAAUUGACGGCCAAGUUUUGGCUUCUUUAAUCGAUGUCCAAUUUUUAGCUUUUCUAUUUAACUUUCGUUUUGCCGGGAAACAAAAUACAGAAUUGACCUAAACCGAUAUCAGCUGAAACCUUAAAACUUUUAAAUGUAUAAUGUGUGACAAAUAAAAUUUAUCUAAAAAAAAAGUUUUAUAUUCAUUCACUAUAAGUAUGUAAACAGGUUUUGAUAUUAAUUUGUAGAUUUUAAAGAUUUGAUUUAAAUAAAAAUAAGAAGAAAGGUUAUGAUUUCCAAUGGUUAAACUAUUCAACAGAGUAAAAAUAAAGUGAAUGUGAGCAAUUAAAGGCGAUCGUACGGCUUUCAACAAUGAUAAAAACCAAUACGGCAAAGGCUAUAAAAGACCAAUUCAUGAGUAAUGUAAAUUCAAAUAAGAAAACUAACGGUCUAAUUUACAACAAAACAAUUUCGAAAAACAAAUAUGACAGACAUAAACCAACGACAACCACUGGACUAUAGGCACACAUUGAAUAUGGCUGGGAUUAACGUGCGUGUGCGCACUUUACCCUUCCGGACAGAUCUGGAACAGCGAUGUAACAGCACAAUAUAAAAACAUUAUGCCAAUUUCUUGCAUAUAUGUUUCUGAACAGGUCCGACUGGUAAUACUCUCAAAACAAUUGGCUGAAGUUCUUUAUUUUGUGUUUUGCUGAACACUGACUUAUGCUCUCUAGGUGUCAUUUGGUUUGUCGUUGGGUUGUUUUCUCAGUGGCAUGCAUGUCAUUUAUAAAUAUGAAUAGGAAAGAUUGUAGAUCGAUUGGCUUAACUUUUUAUCAAGAUAAAUAUUAAUUUGCAUGUAACCUUUUUCGGGUUGAAAAAAUCUAUAUGGAAAGUAUGUAGAAAUGUAGAAAAAGAUGCCAUAAGAAACCUACAUAACAUGUUAAUAGUGUAUUGAUUUUGGACCUCGAUUAGAGACGAAUAUACUCAAUCGGAAGUCGUUUUGGCACUACAUGAAGUCACAUUGGACCUCGAUUAGAGACGACUACACUCAAUCGGACGUCGUUUUGGAACUACAGGAAGUCACAUUGGACCUCGAUUUGAGAAUGAAACGUCAAAUUAAGACGUCGAUUUGAGGAAUGGACGUCGAUUAGAGGCCGGACGUCGAUUCGAGUCUAACAUAUAUAUAUAUACUAUAUAUAUAUAUAUAUAUAUAUAUAUAUAUAACUCGUCUAAACAUCAACCCAACAAUGUUAGAUCUGUAAAUUUGCUUUCGCAAAUUUUUGGUUCUUCCCUCGCCGGGAUUCGAACCCAUGCUAUAUAUAUAUAUAUAUAUAUAUAUAUAUAUAUAUAUAUAUAUAUAUAUAUAUACAACUCGUCUAAACAUCAACCCAACAAUGUUAGAUCUGUAAAUUUGCUUUAGCAAAUUUUUGGUUCUUCUCUCGCCGGGAUUCGAACCCAUGCUACUGUGAUAUCGUGACACCAAAUCGACUGCACUGCAGCCGUCCCGCUAGACCACACGACCACCUGGGCUCUCAAAACAGAGCUUUCGCUGGCCGUGUGUUACCUUUCUUCGUCAGUUUUAAUCUAGCGGCGUACUACAGUACAUGAUAUAUAAGGCAUGAAGAUGUUAUUGUUACAGAUCAGCUAAAUUAUCUAUAGUAAAGGAUCCUACCAAUUAAUGUAAUAUACAGUCAAUAUAAUACAGUAAUAUAUAUAUAUGUUCAAAUUCGAUGAACCAGAUCAUACUAAAUAAACAAGAACAAUUCCUAUGCAUCUCAUUUGGUUCGAAACUUUUUUCAAGUCAAACCGAAUAGUUUGCCAUUAAUUACAGUUUGCACUUUUUUACGCAUCAUGAUUGUGGUAUAGUGAGUUCUCAAAUAUUUUUAUCAAACUAUGAGAUUAUAGACAAUGAUACAAUUUAUCUAGUUGCAGUAGUUGUCCAUCUGCAACUGAUUUAUUUUUAAUUUCACUCCUUGUUAAUCUGAAUCUUCAUGUGCUCAGUCUUUAGUGUUCUAUGUUGUGUUUUGUGUAUUGUUGUUUGUCUGUAGGUCUUUUUCGUUUUUACCCAUUGCGAUGUCAGUUUAUUUUCGACUUGGAUUGGAUGUCCUUUUGUUAUCCUUUAGCUCUUAUUUCCAUAAGCAUAUAUUGCCGUUGGAUUAGUUAUCAAUACAUAAUUAUUUCCUUCUUUAAGACGAGACCCAUAUCUGCUGCUACACGGAGAAGACAAUAUCAAGCAUCACUUAAGUAAGUAAAUACGUUGUUUAUAUCACUUCGAACAUACAUUUUAGUUUAUAUUAUAUUGUCACGUGGCUUCUGAUUUUCAAAAUAACACAGCAAAAAUAUAUCAGUGUUGAAUAAUUAAUAAUUCAUUGUACAUUAUCAAAAAAACUGAUCAAAUUUGAUAUCAAUAUCUAUUAUAUUCCUCGUUGUUUAAUAUAAUCAAUGACAAUAGGACUGCACUAGCUAUCCAUGAUGAUAUCGAUAUCAUUUACCGCAACAACAAAAUUAUUAGACUUUUUAAUACAUAGGGUUACUAUCACGAGGAAAUCCUCUCCAUAUGGACCAAUAAUAUUUCUUUGAAAUGUAAAAAAAAAAAAACAAACAUGAGAAAAGUAAACAGUGUUACUUUCUAAAAAUAUUUCGCUUUAAUUUUAGUCGAAAAUUGUCAUCAGAAAUAUGUUGAGUUGAAAUUUUGCACCGUCUGUAGAUUUUCAUUUGAAUUAUAAAGGUUCUGUAGCCCUGGAAAAUAGAAAUAAUAUAAAACAACAAAGAUUUAAUCGCUUUUGUUUUUUUAUUUAAUUUCUAGAAAUUCUGACCAAAAGUUAUAGUCCAAUUUCUCGGAUUAGGCGAAAAACUACUCAUAGCAAGAUUUUAGGUAGUCUGAAGUGUAUUGCAAAUCAUUCGAAGAUCUCUUACGCUUACAAAUUCCUUACAAUUUAGUGAUAGUUCUGUGGACAUUAUCAGCAGCACAGAACUAUUCUAAAGUCGAACUCGUAAAUAUAAAGGAGGUUGUACAAACUUGGUGCUAUUUUUUUUACAAUAAUUUAUUCAUGGAACAUUGUUAAACUAUCACAUGGUUUUUAUGGAUGAUUUUGAACGUAUCAAGCAAUUCACUACUAUGUAAAUGAUUGUAUAAACAGAUAUAAUAAUCAAUUGCUUUGACACUGAUAAUUGUAUCUAAUACUAAGUUAACUAAUUUCCGCUUGUUUUUAAAAAAAAAUAUUUUUGAAGACAUGGAACACGAGUAGCCGGCAUUGUGGCAGCGAAGAAGAAUGACCAGGGCACAAUAGGAAUUGCAUUUGGAGCUACACUUGUUGGCAAGUUAAUGUAUCUUACUAUUUUCUGACAUAAGAAACACAUAGAGUGUCACAAUUUCAGACUGCAUAUGUACAGGUUUUAAAUUCUCACAAGAUAUUCCCUUUAUUUCCCUUUUCGUACCAUCCUUUCAACAUUAUGUCCUUAACCACUGUUAUUUUGUUCUAUAAAAAAUUUAAAUGUAACUGAAUAAUUAGAAAAGUAUACAAUCUUAUCGGUAGUACUUCACCAUUCGGAAGAUUGAUAAUAUAUAUCAAGGGUACCAGGGUUAUAAUUUAAUACGCCAAAUGCGCGUUUCGUCUACACACGAAUCAUCAGUGACGCUCAUAUCAAAAGAAUUAUUAAUCCAGACAAGUUAAAAGUUGAAGAACAUUGAGGACCAAAAACUUCAAAAAGUUGGGCGAAAUAAGUCUAAAGAAAUCAGUUUAUAUCUUUUGAUUCAAAUUCGAUGGGAUAGAUACAAUGGUUACAAUCACACAAUUUUGCAUUAUUUAUUAACGAGACGGAAUGCAAGAUUAAAGAAUUAAAUUGACUUCAUGUAGUUUCUUCAGAAAAAGGUUCAGCAUUAUCAUGUCUUUUUUUACAUUAACAAAUAUGUUGUCAAUCAAACAAUCCAUCAUGUGGAUAUUUGUCUUGUAUUCGUCUAAUAUAAUUAAUGCUCUUUAAUAAACAUUGAUGUUCUACUGUAAAGAUUUUGUAAUGGCCGGAUAAAUUUGAGAAUGCAGGAGGUCAGAAAAUACAACCACUAACUAAGAUUAAUUGCCAUAAUUGAUGCAAAAUUCCAAGAACAUUAUAAUGGAAGAAUAAAAUGUACAUGCGCAAAUAAUCGUGGAGAUAAUAUUUCACACAAUUUAACUUCCAUUGAACUGCAAGUAACACAUUUCCCCAGGAGUUUUAUGUUUAAUAAUUUUAGAUGUUUGUAAGUUUAUGACAAGGACAACGAGAGCACCCACGUAUACGUACGUACGACUUUUUUUUACAGCGGAUUUUAAAUUCGUGGAUCUAUGGAUAUGGAAAUUAAACAAACCAAAAUUCUAAUAAUUUAUGGUUUGUUUAUUUUUGACAGAUGUAAGGAUAGCAUCAAGUUCUGUUUUUGAAACAUUCAAUGCGAGUCUACUAGCACACCGAUCUGAUGUAAUAGAUGUAUACAGCUGUAGUUUUGCAAAUUUCCAUACUGGUACGAAAACAUAUCCGUUGACCCCAAGUCAAGAAAUUGCCUUACAAGAAGGAACAACUAGUGUAAUUAUGUAGUAACCUAUCAUUAUCUUUUGAUUGCUGUUUAUCAACAUUCACCGUUUGCUGAAAAAUGAUAUUUUAAACAACAUUAAAUGUAGUAGCCAAAACAAAACAAAGCAUAUACUUGAGAGUUGAGUUUCGUUUUCAUUAAUAUGUUUUACAGUCGUUAAUAUUCAUGCAUCACGUAUUCAACUUCAAACAGGUUAGGUGUUUAUUUUAUUUGUGUCACUAUAAGUGUAAGUUCAAAAGUUUUCAAACACAAUAUGCUUAAAAUGAAACUCAUGUGCAUCAUUUUGAUGAUAAUUUGGAAAAAAAAUUCAAAACGAAACAACUGCUGUGAUUUUAACGAAAACGAGCACGGUGACCUAUGUUUUAUUUUGUGUUUUAUUUUAUAACUCGCCAAGGCCUACAACAUUUUUCAAAACUAUUAAAAUGACAUUAUAUCGAGAAACUGUAUCGGAUGCCCUUAAACAUGUUAAAGGAGGGUAUCGUAAUGCAUUGGAUUGUUCUAUCAUGAUUAUAAAACAAUCAAUAGCUAUACAAUUUAUACACAUAGCCUAACAUAAUUUUGCUGUCAAAAAUGAAUUUUGAAACGGAUUAGAACUAUAAAUGAUGAUGCUGAAUUCACGGUUAAGAAUAACAUUUGGAAUCAGAACUUACAUAUCUUUAAAAGGAAUAAGACAGGAAUGUAUGUCAAGCUCUUUCUUUGGUAAUACCUGUUGAAAUAUUGGCUUGGAAAAUGAGAUAAUAGUUAUCAAAGGUACCAGGAUUAUUAUUUAAUACGCCAGACGCGCGUUUCGUCUACAUUAGACUCAUCAGUGACGCUCAGAUCAAAACAGUUAAAAAGCCAAACAAAUACAUAGUUGAAGAGCAUUGAGGACCCAAAAUUCCCAAAUGUUGUGCCAAAUACGGCUAAGGUAAUCUACUCCUGGGGGUACGAAAAUCCUUAGUUUUUCGAAAAAUUCAAAGUUUUGUAAACAGGAAAUUUAUAAAAAUGACCAUAUAAUUGAUAUUCAUGUCAACAUCGAAGUGCUGACUACAGGGCUAGACAACAUUUGAUAUUAAAGGAUUUAAAAUAAGAAUUGUAUAUUUUAAAGUUAAAAUUAACUCAAUUAUCAGUUUGUACAACAUUUUUUUUUUUCAAAUGCAAAAUUGAAAUAUCUAAAAUACUAAAUGGAAUUAAAAAAAAGGAACAUUAUCAGGACUGAACAUAAGUAAAAAAGGAAUACGAAAAGGUAUUAAAAAAGUCUGCACUGUAACAACAAAUUUAGAAUCAUGAACCAUUGUUAAAGGCCGUAUAGUUGUUAAUUUCGGUAUAAUUUAGUCUCUUUUGGUGAGUUGUCUCAUUGUCAAGCAUACUACAUCAUUUUAUUUUACAAUUAAGUCUUUAUGAAUAUAUUAUGUAUUGAAUAAUAGUGAGCACAAAGUUGAAUUAUAAAAAAAAUUAUAAUGCUGAGAAGUAAUGAAAUCUAACGCUGAUAGGUAAAAAAAACUGUUGUUCAAACUUUUAUCAUCCCAAAUAUGACACAUUUAGAACAGUAUCAAACUUAGGCAAAGAACAUGUAACACAAUUUGACAUAGUUUAUACAUGAUUUCAUUUGAAAUUAUCAAAUAGAAAAGUGUAAGGAAAAAUAUCAUGUGUAGGUUUAUGACCCCAUCUGUAGCCGGUUUAAAAAGAACUUUUCAAACUGCAAUUGUAUCAAAACAACAAAUAUAAUGAAUAAUAGAGAUAGGCCAUUUUGUACAUAUACUAAGGGAAACUUCGUGCAAAGCACUAUUAUUUACUGUUUCAUUGCAUUUAAUAGAAAAAGUAAACUUUGUGGCAAAUAAACUAAGACUUUUAUAGAACAUACACAGUCUUCCAUCAUUUAUCCAUACAGAAAUAUUUGAUAUAAAAUUUUAAACAUAGAUUACUCACUUGUUUAUCUAUGACGUGCUAUUGUUUAUCUUUUAGAAAAAGUUUUAAACAACCUGUAAAUUGCAAAAAAAAACUUGUGUUGUGUCAUUAAAGUUGAGUGCACCCUAAAAGGUGUACUUGAUUUGAUCCAUAUUUCUAUUUGUUUUUCAUCCACAAUAACUUAAAUAAUAAACUUGUUAUAAGGAAAUCAUUGCUAGCACUGUAUGCAACAAUCCUCUAUCUAUCAAGUACCGAAUUGCCAUUUUUUAUUAUCAGGGUAGACACGGUCGUGGGUCUGUGUAUGUUUUUGCUACUGGAAAUAGUGGUGGUAGGAGAAGGAACCUUUUCCGUGAUAGCUGUGCUUAUGACAGAUUAGUAACCAAUAGAUACGUCAUUUCUGUGGCAGGUACUCAUUAACAGAUUUCUACAUAUUUUGUUUCAUCCAUGUGAUAGCAGUAUAGCAUUCAAGAAAAGAUAAACAAAGAAAAACAAAGGCUUUGAGAUAAAACGCUACCUUCGGUUCAUAUGAUAGAUAACUUCACGCUGAUUAAAAAUUAUACAGUUUUCAUGUUUUUUAACAUCAAAUGAUGUAAACUGACUUCCUCCAGUUAACAAAUUGGUUUUUUUUCUUAUUGUGCUUUACAAUGUCAUACCGGUAUAGCUUCCAAAUUAAUGUUUAAUACCAAUUGAAUUUGGAAUUGAUAAUUUGUUUAUUCAUAGCAAAUGUUAAAUAUCUAUAAAGUACUGUUUAAGUUUUGAACUGAAUUUAACGUAUGUUUUGAAAACAGAAACUUUGAUAUUUAUAGGUAUUCAGCACAAUCUUAGAAAACUUCCUAACGGAGAAGCUUGCAGUGCUAUGAUGGUAGCAGCUUUUACUACAAGACCAGGUGUAAAGAAGAGUCGUGGAACUAAAGUAGUUCGUAUCUUUUAAUCCCCUAUGCUGGUUAAAUUAUCGAUGAACUAAUAAUUUCUAUUGUGUGACUCUCAGUAUAGAUAUAAAGUUAAGGAUAAACUCUUGUUGGCUUUACCUUGACUUUUUCUAUAUAGUUGCUUAACCUGAUGAUAAAAACUUGGACAAAAGUUUGCUUAAAAUAAAACUGAUGUCAAUUAAAAUAAUUCUACUUAUUUAAAUGAAAUGUUGUCUUCCAUAUGAAAGUUGUUUAUCAUCCACACUGUUUUUUUAGAAAGAAAUGUUGCACGACUGUUCUAUGUACAUCGUUAGUUCUUAACACAAUUCUAAUUUACUAAACACGACUCAUAGAAUUACAAAGUACAAAAUUACAAAACAUCAAAAUCUAUUGGAGCAAUUAUACCUUUAAAUACAUUGAAUUCCUCGACAUUCUUUUUUUCAGAUAACAACAGAUAUUGGCAACAACACGACAUUGCAUUUUAACCAGAAUUUCGCAGCAGCACCUAUGGUAUCCGGUGCAGUAGCUCUUGCUCUGAGUGCAAAGUAAUUAGUUAAUAACAAAGGGGUCUUUUUUAUGUUCAACUAAUCACAUUCAAAGCUUUGUAAAUUAUUAUAGAAAUGUCAGUUUAUAACACAAGCAAAACCAAUGUGACUAAAACAGCCAAACAAUCUUUGAUCUAAACAGUUCGCAAAAGACACAGCAAUGCAACUUUUAUUCAUUGUCAGUAUUUAUACAUUUUUAAAGUAAAGAAAUUCGCUUGUCAUGUUUUUGGAUUUUUUUCAGAUUUUCGGAAUACUUUAGUUUUAUCCAUUUAAAUGCCUAAAAAAAAUUUGCCCCCUUUCCUUUUUAUAAAUCUCUUACAUGUAUAACGAUUAGCCAUCUAUAAAAGUCUAAUAAAAUUUUAAUUAUUUUUCAAUAGUUUGUGAGAACUUUGACUUAUCAAUUUUAAUGCUAUGAAAAGUCAAGAGAGAAUAUUUUCCCGCCAAUAUCUCAAAAACAAGCACAUUGACCUAUAUAUAUUUUUAUUGCUCUUUUAAUUCCUUUACCAAUCCCCAUAUCACUAUAAAAUAGUGUUGUGAAAGUUAAUAUUUUGAAACUGAGAAUCGAACUCCCUUAAGUAACUGAGAGCUAAUGCUUGCAUUUGAUUAAGAUAUGUCAUUUUAUUUUCAAAUUGGUGGAAGGUUUUACUAAUAUGUAUUUAUGUUACUUGGUUGACUCCAAUACUAAAACAUGAUUUAUGUUUGUAUUGACAACAUGUACAUUGUGCCAUUACAUUUUGUACUUUUAUAGGAAUACAUUAUACAUGUAGGGGUUGUUCUAAAAUAUCAAAAAUGAAACCAAUGUUAGAUAGAGGCUCAAGAAAGACAAUAGUAAAAGAUUCACCUACAGUAUUAGUUUGAAAACUAACCUUGUUGAUUUAAAAAACAAAGAAGAAACAAUACAUACAUGAACCCUAUUUUAAAAUACUGAGUGUAUUAUAUAUAAACAUUGAUGAUGUCAUGGUCAAAUUACUAAAUUAUACAUAUGAGCUAAUAGACAAAACACUUCAGCUAACCAGGAGAUGCGUUACUUUCAAAUUUAAAUUAUUGAGGUAGAGUCCUUUUUGUACUUAAUAAAUGGUAAAGUCAAUAAAUUCAAAAUGCAAAACACUGUAUCAUAACAAUUCGAAAUAAUAUCAAAGCAACCUUAACUAAUCAAAGAGCCAACGAAUAUUCAUUUGAAAUAAAUAAGGCCGUUACUUUUCUCGAUUGGAUUGUUUACAUUGUCAUUUCGGGACCUUUUAUAUAUACUAUGCGGUAUUGGCUUUGCUCACUGUUUAAGGCCGUACGGUGACCUGUAGUUAGAAAUUUCUGUGUUAUUUCGGUCUCUUGUAGAGAGUUGUCUCAUUUGGCAACCAUACCACAUUUUCUUUUUUUAUAAUCCCUAAUACAUAUAAACCAGACCUACAAUAUACUGCUGUUUUGUUAUAAAAAUUCACGUUCUGAUUCAUAACAUUUAUUUUUAAAUGAUUGUAAUUAAUAACUUGUUUCAGUCCAUCUUUAACUUAUCGUGACAUUAUGCAUUUGCUGGUUAACACUGCAAGAGGUGAUCUUCUACAAAAAAAAAGCAAAACGAAGUUCCUUACAAAUGCUGCUGGAUUUUUAGGUAAGUAUUAAGAUAAAUAGAAAGUUUUCCAAAAUAAAACAAAUUUAUUCUAUCUUUCAGAAAUUUAUCUGUUAUAUAACAUAAACCUCACAAAAUAUACAUGCUUGUGACACAGUUUAUUAUUCGUUUGUGGCGUACAGGUGUAUUGUUUGAAUUCAUGGGAGGUGUCCGUUGUGAUUGAUUAUGUGGUUUACAUGUUGGUAUUAAUAUUAUAUCAUUGAAGGAAUGACUGUAAUAUGUUUCUGUCUGUGACGAAAUAGCAUAAAAAUGUGUUGCACACUGAAAAGCCCGUGUCUCCUUUCUUUAUAAGUCUUUAAAAGGUUGUGUUUUCUUUUGGAGUAAAUUCUGAUAUAUGUGUGCAUUGUGAAGAAUAUUCCAAUAAAAAAAACUGAAUGUGAAAUACCUGAACGUAUAAGAUAACUGCGUGUUGAAUUAUAUUUACGAUUGAUGUCUUUGAACCGAUGAUAAAAUUUUGUAAAUGUGUUUUCUUGUUUGUCUAUCGAAAAACCUGGUGUAAUAAUUUUUCAAUAAUAUACAAGUUUCUUUCGCUAGAAUAUAAUAAUUGGCAAUCAUACACAUAUCCUUAUUUGAAAUAUGAAUUUGGUUUAAUGGAAAUGCUGCUAUUCAAUUGAAAACUCUGUUGUUUUUUUAUUUAUCUAAAUUGAAAACUAUUUUGACCUAGAUACAUAAUUGAUUUAAUAAAUCAAACAUAGUACUACAACCAUUUAUCAUUUUAUUCAAUAUGUCCUUAUGUUUUUUUCUAUUCAUUAUUUGUCUAUACUAUAUUAGACAUUGUUUCUCUUUUUGAACUGUAUGGCAAGACUUAAAUUAAAUUUGUUUGCUUGUUUUGAGAGAUACUUUAUAAUCUAUUAAUGCAUCGUGAUCACUUAUUGUAUAACGUCUAUCUUAGAAUAUGUUUGAAUUUAAAACUAAAUUCUGUCGUACUCGAACUUCUUACUUUUCUCACAAAUUGAUUUUUUAAAAACUUUCAUAUUUAUCUAAAAGCUCCACUUUCUCAAUUUUUUAAUUGUUUUAUGAUAAUCAAGGACUCUUGCCAUACAUUUUAGCUUUGAGGUCUAAGAAAAUAUACCAGGAAAAUGAUGGCGUCACCAUAUUCAGCAAUGAUAGGCACUGUUUUAAAAGUAUUUUGUGAUUUUUUUUUGGUAUAAAAAUUUAACAAGGAUUUCCUGAAUAAGCCAGUUAUUUUUAUUGUGUUUUGUGUACUAUUGUUUAUCUGUUUGUCUUUUCCCUUUUUAUUCAUGGAAUCCCUGAGGGUAUCACCAGCCUAGUAGACAGCGCUUCGGUGUUGACAUGAAUAUCAAUUAUAUGGUCAUUUUAUAAAUUUACUGUUCAUAAACAUUUGAAUUUUCCGAAAAACUAAGGAUUUUCAUAUCCCUGGAAUAGAUUACCUUAGCCGUUUUUGGCACAACUUUUUGGAAUUUUGGGUCCUCAGUGCUCUUUGUACUUGUUUUACUUCAUAACUAUUUGUUCUGAGCAUCAAGGAUGAGUCUUAUGUAGACGAAACGCGCAUCUGGCGUAUUAAAUUAUAAUCCUGGUACCUUUUGAUAACCUUUUAUCAGUUUUUUUCGAUUUCUAUUUUUGUAUGUCCCUCUGAUAUCUUUUGUCCCUCUUUUGUAACUUUAGGCUUAGUGAACAACAAUUAUCAACCAGUUAUUCAAUAAUAAAAGUUUUUCAAGAACAAGUAGGUUGAAAGCUUUAAACAUUAAUUUAGAUUGAAUUUCUAAUUCAGUAUCAUCAUACUUUGGGUUUGGAUUACUUGAUAUUGGCGCCCUUGUCGACAGAAGUAAAACCUGGGAACUAGUUCCUGUCAGACAAAGUUGUCAUUCAACAGAAAUUAUUGACAAUCCGUAAGUAAUAGUAUACAUAAAUAUAUACAGGAACAUCAUUUAUCAUGAACGGCAGGGCACCUUGUUUAUAGACAGAUACCAAAAGCAAACUCUUGAAUAACAUUAAAGAUAAACUCUUGAAUAACAUUAAAGAUAAACUCUUGAAUAACAUAAAAGAUAAACUCUUGAAUAACAUUAAAGAAAAACUCUUGAAUAAAACAUUAAAGAUAAAAUCUGGGAUAACAUUACAGAUAAACUCUCGAAUAACAUUACAGAUAAACUAUUGCCGUAUAACAGGUUUUUGUUAAUGAAAAACAGAACCAUCUAGAAUUAAACAUUUAAUAAAAGUAACAGUCGUUAGUUGCAAGUGACGAUCACAUUUUAAUAUUCUAAACUAUACCUACGGAAACCAUAACAUUUGUUUUCACCUUACUACCUUUAUUGUGUUAUAUGUUUGUUGCGUGAUAUCAUAAAUAACAUAUGUUACUCUGGUUAAAUUGUGUAAAUUGUUUGCUCGUUUUUUAAGCAAAAACGUUUUCGACUAUUCCAACUCAGACAAGACUAGACGCAUUUUGUAAAUGUGUUUAGAUGUAAUAUAUGGUGAUAACUGUAAACUGAAGUAUAUAUAUGGUCAAGAGUUUUUUUUUUCUUUUUAGACUGAACCAACGCUCCAAAUAUUUCGUGGUUAAGGUCAGUGGAUGCAAUGUUACUUAUGUAGAACAUGUUGAAGUAUCAUUAAUUGUCACCCAUCAAAAUGCAGGACAGAUACAGUGGACUCUGGUAUCGCCGAAUCGAACAAAUUCUAUAAUCCUUCCUGGCAGAAUUCUCGAUCAGACGACAACUAUGAACUUAACUGUUAUAACCGUUCAUAUGUGGGGAGAAAAUCCUGAAGGAUACUGGAAAUUAAAACCCAAACCUAUGUUUGGUAAAAAUCUAAGUAAAUUUAAGCUUUUUGAAUUACAAUAUAUGAUAAAUGUUUCGUCUGAAAGAUCAAUAUCUUCAACUAAUUUUAAGAUACUGCAAAGUACGGGACAAUUAUGCAUCCAUAACCAGAAAUCUUUGUUUAUUGUCCAUAAAUUUAGGUUACCAGUUCACCAUUCACCAAAUUUCCUACCCCAAAGACAAAUAAUUAUAGUUUCAUCCUCGCCAAUACUGCACAAAAUAUCAUCGUAAUUUUAUACUUUAUAUUAAUUGUUUGAUAACGGACUUAGGAAUUUACCACUCACUUGAAAUCUUAACAUAUACCCCAAACGUCCUCUUUUUACUAAUUUUACUUGCUGUAUGGGAACUAUUAUUAGAUUUGCACUAAUAUGAAUUACCCGACCGUGCUACACAGUAUCUAAUUUGUUGUCAAAGCACAUGAGAUCCCGCCAUUUUCUUCUUUUUGUCUUGCCAUGGCUUUGUCAGUUUAUUUUCGAUUUUUGGUAUCGUCCGCCUUUUUAAUAAAUUUUAUCAGUAUUGUUCUGUUUAUCUUUUUACAAACAGUCUAUAGCGAGAACUCCUCUAGUUCAUUACUUAAGGAAUAUAAUAUUUUGUAUGCCCCACCUACGAUAGUAGAGGGGCAUUAUGUGUUCUGGUCUGAGCGUCCGUUCGUCCGUCUGUCCGUCUGCCCGUCCGUUCGUUCGUCCGUCUGUCUGUCCGUUCGUUUGUCCGUCUGUUCGUCCGUCUGUCCCGCUUCAGGUUAAAGUUUGUGGUCAAGGUAGUUUUUGAUGAAGUUCAAGUCCAAUCAACUUGAAACUUAGUACACAUGUUCCUUAUGAUAUCAUCUUUCUAAUUUCAAUGCCUAAUUAUAUUUUUUAUACAAUUUCAUGGUCCAUUGAACAUGGAAAAUGAUAGUGCGAGUGGGGCAUCCGUGUACUUUGGACAUAUUCUUGUUUAUUCAUCUGAUGAAGACAUAAACUUUCAAUCAUUUUAAUUGAAUUCUGGAGCUGGCAUGUCAGUUAACUGCCAGUAGCUAUAUAGUCUGUUGUAAUUUAUGUACUAUUGUCAUUUUUUUCUCGUUUGUUACAUCUUCUAACAUCAGACUCGGACUUCUUUUGAACUGAAUUUUAAUGUGCGUAUUGUUAUGUGUUUACUUUUCUACAUUGGUUAGAGGUAUAGGGGAAGGGUUGAGAUCUCAUAAACAUGUUUAACCCCGCCGCACUUUUGCACUUUUGCGCCAGUCCCAAUUCAGGAGCCUCUACCUUUGUUUGUCUUGUAUUAUUUUUAAUCUGGAGUUUAGUAUAGCGUGUAUUAUCACUGAACUAGUAUGUAUAUUUGUUUAGGGGCCAGCUGAAGGACGCCUCCGGGUGCGGGAUUUUCGCGCUGCAUUGAAGACCUAUUAGUGACCAUCUGUUGUUGUCUGUUCUUUGGUCGGGUUGUUGUCUCUUUGACACAUUUCCCAUUUCAAUUCUCAAUCUUAUAUAGCCAAGGAACUGCAGUUAGUCAGAAAAAAACCUACAAAAAUGAUGUAAUGUAUAGAACACUUCCAAAUAAAUGUAACAUAUUAAGUUAAAUAAUAUCAAUCGUUUUGCCAUACAAAUGCGAUGGUUUUCCAAAUACACCUUCUUUCAAGUCAGUUCACUUGAAAUUAUAGCUUUUAGUUCAUUUUCUGAUGUUUAAUACAUUUUAGAUAAAGGCACUGUAAAAUCAGUGAAACUGUUGAUUCAUGGAUAUAGUUGUGGAAAUAAAUGCAAAUUACAACCUGCACAACAGAGGUAAGAAAUCUUUAUCAACUUAGUUAAUGUUUGCAGACAUUUGGUUAUGGUUUUGUUGUAAAGUUAAUUAGAACCUGUGCAGAUUGAGAUAGAAGUUAUUAUAUAAAGGUAGAUCAUAAGUAUAGACUUUUUAAGACAGAAUUUUCUUAUAAUUUGCCAAAAUGAAGAUUUAACUAUGCUUUUUUCAAAAAUAUAAUAAAAAGUAUGGGUCACCGUGCUAUUUUUCAAGCAAUGAGUCGUUGAAAAUUGCCCAAAUUGGGUUAGUUUGAUCAUGAAAAACCACAUAUGUGAUCAUUAAAAAAAUUCUAUGAGGUAAAAUUUUGAUUUAAUUGUGAGAAAAUAGGUUUUAUCAUACUUUUUAAGAAAAUAAAAAGAAAAAAACGAUGUCACCGAACUUGUGUUCUUGCUACAAGUAAAAAUAAAAAAAAUCCCUAUUAGUCUAGUAUAAUUUGUUUACUAAAAGAAUUAUCUCCCCUUAAAAGGCUCAUUUUCAAGGAUGUUUCUGUUUUAAGCUCCAGGAGAUUGGAAAGAAUGGUCCCGAUGGUCAGAGUGUACAGUAUCAUGUGGAAAAAAAACCAGAAGUAGACAAUGUAAAAACAACAAUAAUCUAAAAUAUUGUCCUGGCAAAAAUUUUGAGACAGUCCCAUGCGACCAAAGUGAAUGUCAACUUAAAAGAAUAUCUGGUAAGAAUAUUAUAUACGUAUUGAUCCAUAAUUAACACUGAUUUUGGCCAUUUUGAGGAAUCUGUUUGGUCAUAUAACUCAUCAACUGUUUCGGUUCUUUUAUAUUCUUGGCUUUCAAAUAUUAGGCUUUUGGCUUUUCUAAUGAUUGCAAUUUUCUGAAACACCUGUCUUUUCUCAACCACUAACUAUGUCGAUUUCGAUCGAUUAUUUGUCUAGUUUUUUCCUUCCUAUUUAGAUUAUAAAGACACCGAUAAACGCCUUGCGCCUUCAUUUAUCAACUAAAUUGAUAUAUGACUUUUGAAAAGCGAUGUGCUACUGUUGCUUUUGUUCAUAAAAUAUAUUUAUGAUAAAAAGUGACAGCCACGUCAAUAAAAAAAUAUAAUACUUAAUUUAUAUAUACAAUCAACCGUAAGCUUUACAUCAGGUUUGAAAUAUAAAUACUAGUAAACUAAUGUUUAAACUCCCUUAAGGAAAAUUGACCUAACUUGGAUUUGAUUAUUUGCUAACGUUGUUUUUGGUCAUAUAGCUCUCCAAUUGUUUCGGUUUUUAUACAUCCUCGGCUUUCAAAUAUUUGGCUACGUUGAGGGUUCAAGAUAAAAGUAAAACCAGAAAUUAUAAAGAAACUGAUGUUUCAACUCCCUCAGGCAAAGUUGGCCUUAUAUGGAUUUUGCUAUUUUUAAAAAAUUCGGUUACUUUUGGUCAUUUAGCUCCUUAAUUGUUUGCAUUCUUGGCAUUCAAAUACUUGGCGUUAAAGUUCCAGAUGAAGGUAAAUCCAGCAAACGCUUCGGACGCAUGCAGCUUAUAUUACUUAGUUAUCAAAGGUACCAGAAUAAUAAUUUAGUGCGCCAGACGCGCGUUUCGUCUACAUAAGACUCAUCAGUGACGCUCAAAUCAAAAUAUUUAUAAAGCAAAACAAGUACAAAGUUGAAGAGCAUUGAUGAUCCAAUUUCAAAAAGAUAAGAAAAUCCUUAGUUUUUCGAAAAAUGCAAAGUUUUGUAAACAGGAAAUUUAUAAAAAUGACCACAUUAUUUAUAUUCAUGUCAACACCGAAAUGUUGACUACUGGGCUGGUUAUCACUCGGGGGCGAAACGUCAUCCAGCAGUGGCAUCAAGUAGUUUAGUUACAUGUUUUUAUUUUUUAUUUUAUACGCUUUUUCCUUGUUAUGCAUUUUUUUUUAAACUAUAAAAAGAAUUUUUUUUCAAUAUUUUUGUAAAUAUCGACCAAAUUCAACGUAAUUUAGUUGACGCACGGUUGAGUGACAUCUUGUGUUACAUUAAUGUUGUAUUUUUUUUUACAGAAGUUCAAUCUGGCGAAUGUCCAUUGGCCCCUCUUUUAAUAAGCAGGUGUGUAGAACAGUGUUCAAAUGACAGCGAUUGUUCUGUAAAUCAAAAGUGUUGUUACAAUGGAUGUGGGCACUCAUGUGAGAUGUCAAAAGCAAGUAAGUAUAUAUCAAAUAUCCAAACAACAAGUUGCAAAAUAAAAGAAGGUUCAUUCGGUUAACUCUAAGUCACUUUUUUCGUUGAAGCGUAGAUUUCUUCAAACUGAUCCAAUACAUCUUUGGUGUCUUUAUACCUCUGACUAUUAUCAGGUAGAUAUUAUGCUUGUCCGGUUUACAAAAAUGGCACUUCCGUCUUAUAUGACAGCUUUACUCACUAUGCUUACAUAAGACUCAUCAGUGAGAUCAGACCAAACCAGUUAUAAAUUCAAACAAGUACAAGGACGAAGAGCAUUGAGGACCCAAAAUUCCAAAAAGUUACGCCAAAUACGGCUAAGGUAAUCUAUUCCUGGGAUAAACGAAUCCUUAUUUUUUCCAUAAAAUUCACAGUUUUAUGAAUUAUGUAUAAUUGUCAACUUCUGGUUUAUAUUAUAUAUAUUCAGGUGACAUAUGAUAGCUGCGUUUACAACGAUUUUAAAAAUAUUUGGUUUCUAUAUAUAAAGGUAUUUUAUUAACCAGGGUCGAGUAAAAGUAUUUUGUUAACUAUGGUCAAUUUCAAACGCGCAUACACUGUUCAAUAUCAUAUAUCAUUAUUGAUAGACCUGUUAUGAUAAUUACUCGUGUAAUAUCGUCUAAGGUAAACUUUCAAAACUUGUCCCACCUGUCAAAAAAUGCUGCAGUUUAGAACAAUCAAUCCUCAUUAGCGUAGAACAGCUUCUGGCAUAAUCUUUUCUCAAGGUAUCACAUUGCUUUACUAUGUACUCCUGGCAGUUUUUUGCGAGAUUUCAAGAGACUCGAGAAAUUGUGCCUUCAUUUUCAUUCGUUUGUCUCUCCAUAUUUAUCCCAACAAAAGUUGUGGUGUGAUUACCAAUGGGACAAACUCUCUGUUUUCGAAAACUAAUCUGACUAUAAAUGAAUGUGAGUCACAAACAAGACUUUUAUCCAUGCUUCUGACAGUUUACGAAGUACUUCAGCAGGUUCAGAUAUGCACUACGUAUAGGUGAUAUCAAUUGUGUGUAAUAUAUGAAAAAAUACAAUAUUCUAUAUUUGAUUAUCCGACUUUCAUGUAGAUUACCGUAAUCUUUUAAAAAUUAAAAGGUUUGUAUGGUUUAAGUUCCUUUGAACACAAACAUCAAUUAUUGUGUCACUUUUUGUUUGCAUGUAACGACCAAGUUCUUGCACUAAGAUGAUAUUUGAAAAUCGAAAUAGUGCACAUCAUACAAAAAUUACGUACACUGAUAUUUUCUGCAAUUUGACAUUGCAGAUUUCGAUAUUGUUCGAAAAAUUGUUGACGCAAGGUUGAGUGAUAUCAUGAGUUACAUUGAUGUUGUAUUUUUUACAGAAGUUCAAUCUGGAGAAUGUCCACUGCCAUCUUUUUUAAUAAGCAGAUGUGUAGAAAAGUGUUCAACUGACAGUGAUUGUUCUGUAAAUCAAAAAUGUUGUAAUAAUGGAUGUGGGCACUCAUGUGAGGAUUCUAUAAAAUGUAAGAAAAACAUGAAUUAUUCUUAGUAAAAGCUAUCUCUCUCUUAUUUCUUUCACUCAAUAACCAUCAUAUCUGUGAAUGUGCAUAUUUCAUACAGCCUAGUAAAAUUACGAAUAAGCAAACAAGUUCAGAUCUGACAACACCAUGAUCAUUUCAUCAUUAUUAACACAUAUAGACGACUUCAAAGUAGAAUCUUUGACAAAAAUGAUUUCAACAUUCCAAAUGUUAAAUUCCAAUUUCAGUAACAUUUACUCUAUUCAAUCGUAUGGCAUUCGUGGGUUUCUUUGUCCUAUAUGAUUUACCAUUUAUUUAUAAUUACAAUUAACUAUAUCACAAGUUUCUAGAUUAGAUCCCCCUACUUGACUUGAAAAGUGGUGCAACAACAUACUAUUAGAACUAAUUGGUAAAUUAGUAAGAAGGAAAUGAUUAAUCACUUCGAUUAUAGUAAAUAAUGGGUAUUAUUAGCUUAUCAUAACUUUUACAUUCUCAAAAACUGUUCUGAACUUUAUAAACAACAUUAUAAUCGUUAACUCGGAUGGUGUUUGAAAAUAGUCACUGGCCUAUUAUUGAUCUCAAUCAAGAUGUCGAGGUUUACCUAAUUUGUAAUGAACUUUUGGUGUCGGUUACAACUGUUCAUAAGACCACUUUAAAUCGCUUUUUAUGCCCCACCUACGAUAGAAGAGGGGCAUUAUGUUUUCUGGUCUGUGCGUCCGUUCGUCCGUCUGUCUGUCCGUUCGUUCGUCUGUCUGUUCGUUCGUCCGUCUGUUCGUCCGUCUGUCCCGCUUCAGGUUAAAGUUUUUGGUCAAGGUAGUUUUUGAUGAAGUUGAAGUCCGAUCAACUUGAAACUUAGUACACAUGUUCCUUAUGAUAUGAUCUUUCUAAUUUUAAAGCCAAAUUAAUUUUUUGACCCCAAUUUCACGGUCCUCUGAACAUAGAAAAUGAAAGUGCAUGUUUCAGGUUAAAGUUUUUGGUCAAGGUAGUUUUUGAUGAAGUUGAAGUCUAAUCAACUUGAAACUUAGUACACAUGUUCCCUAUGAUAUUAUCUUUCUAAUUUUUAUGCUUAAUUAUAUUUUUUAUCCAAUUUCAUGGUCCAUUGAACAUGGAAAAUGAUAGUGGGAGUGGGGCAUCCGUGUACUCUGGACACAUUCUUGUUAUAGUAAUAUUUUCUAUAAAAACAGCCACUUCAUUUUAAUUCCACAAGUACAAUGUAAUAAGCUUUAUACACGAUUUUAAACUUUAGAAUAAAUUUAAUAACUUUCUAAUUUUUCUUCCACCAAAAAGUAAUAUACACGAUUUUAUACUAUAGAAAAGAUGUUCUGCUUAGUUAUCAAAAUCCCUUAUAAUCUAAUAUAACGUUUCGCCAAAAUUGAUCUUUCCACUGAUCGUUAUCAGGUUAUAUAUCUAAAUGGUGAAAAGAUGAUAGAAAAUGUCGUAACUGCCAUCCACCUCCAUUUUCACCACAAACGUGACCUACAGAAUUAAACUUUUUACCGGAUUUGUAAUAACAUGAACAAUUCGACGGGUGUAACAUGUGGAGCAAGAUCUGCUUACCUUUCUGGAGCACCUGAGACCACCCUUUUUGUUGGGGUUCGUGUUGUUUGGGUUUUAGUUUUCUAUGUUGUAUCUUGUGUACUAUUAUUUUUCUGUUUGCCUUUUUAUUUUAUAGUCAUGGAGUUUUCAGUUUAUUUUUUAUCUAUGAGUUUCACUGUCCCUCUGGUAUCUUUCGCCCCUCUUUUCUUAAGAUAGAUUUUCUACUAUGUUGUAAUUCUGCUUUCAAAACGCAUAACUAAACGACAAUUUUUGUUUUAACUUGCUAAUGAUGAUGACCAUUUUGAGAUAUUUUCAUGGUUGAAAUGUAUAACUAUAAUCUGAGAUUUUUUUUUAAUAAUGUCUUCAAACUCAGUUUUAAAGAACUGAAACCCGUUCCUUAAAAUCAUACAUCAGCGAUCUGUCGACAUGUGCAGCUUAAUUUUAUUUUAAUGAUUGCCGUUCUGUCGUUCAUUAAAUAUAUUAUCAAAUCAUCAUUUUUUAUUUCUAGAUCAGACAACAGAAACAAUCAGAGCUACGUCGGAGCAAGGUAAAAAGUUAUAAAAAGUAAAAUCACAAAAAUACUGAACUAAGAGGAAAAUCAAAUUGGAAAGUCCCUAAUCACAUGGCAAAAUCAAAUGACAAAACACAUAAAAAACGAAUGGAAAAUAACUGUCAUAUUCUUGACUUGGUACAGGCAUUUUCAAAUGUAGAAAAUGGUGAAUUAAACCUGAUUUUUAUAGCGUUAAACCUCUCACUUUGUACGACAGUCUCAUCAUAUUCCGUUAUAUUUACAAUGAUGCGGGAACUAAACAGACAUGAUAAAUAAAAUAGUCAAAACAUGGGUACAGCAGUCAUCAUCGUGUAACAAUUUUAAAAGAAACAAUUCGCGUGUCUGACGUCAGAAAAUUUAUACGUCACAUAUUUUUUUGUCGUUCAAUGUAAUAAAUGUUUUACCGUUGAGUUCAACAACAAAUACAAAACUAGCAAUGUUGGAAUCUUUCAGGUUUUUAAGUAUUUUUAAUUCAUCCAUUUUAAUAAUCAAUAAUAAUACUAUUCCCGUUAUUUUCUUGUAGAAGGUUUGUGAAUUAAAUAACAUGAUGUAAAACAACUAUGAAAUUGAUAGUUUUAUAGUGUAAGUAUGAUAGGAGUUGAAACUCCUAACUAUAAUCAUGAUGUUAGAAUAAAGUUAAUACUGAACUAGCAAAAUUGGCCUCUUACUGGUUUUAAUUUGUGUGUAACUACUUUUAAUUAUAUAAUCCUAAAAAAAUCAGUUUAUGUCUGUUGUUCGUCAUAUGUUAUAUCUUAUCAUCAUUUAUAUUCUUAGCCCAAACAACACAACCAGUCAGAACAACGCCUUUGCAAGGUAUACAUUUGAUCAAAUAUUUUAUAGUUGAGUUAAAUACUUAUUUCUGUGUAAAUUGUUUGUAUGAAGAAAUGUGUGAUGCUUUUAAGUAGUAACAUAUACCUUUGCAUUGAAAAUGAUGAUUUUAUAAGUUUUCUAAUCCAAUAAUUAGUACACUUUUUGUAAACACACUUACGGUUUGAUUGUUUUUAAUGUUUUUGUUUACUUUCAUAUAAAUCGAUCAUGGAUGCAUUAGCCUGAAAUAUUGCUACCGCUUGUUGCUUAAGUAUUUGAAAGUUCAAAACCAAAUACAAACAUAUUAAGUCUUUUAAAACCAGAAAUACUAUAAAUUAAGCUAGACCUUUGCAAGAAUAAAGGAUAUGCAUAAUACAUUAAAAUUAUAAAAAAAACUAGUUUUGAAAUAAAAUUCUUUAGAGCUCAACAUGUUAUAUUUGUCGUAGAUAUGCUGUCACAUCUGACGUUUUAUCCAUAUCAACUUCUGAUAUGCACACCAUAAAUUGAAAAUCAUGUGCAGUCAAUGGCAAUAAGACACAAUUAAAAUUAAGAUAAAAGAUAUAUAACAAAAGGACAUUCCAACAAAUUGUCAAUGAAAUAAUGAUAGGAAAUGAAACCCGUGAAAUAUAUCAUUUGGAAGAAUGGUGCAAAAUAGACAUGAAACUUUUCAAUGGUGAAGCUAAAGUCUUCUUUAUUCUAAAGUUUUGUUCUCAACCGACUCACGUUGUCAAUUUGUAGCAACAAAAUCAGAACAUGAGGCAGACUUAACCUCACAGUGUCAUCCUUGGUUUAAAGUUUGAUGAAAUAAACGAGUCAAACACAGUCACCAAAUAAUAUAGUGACAGGACAUAAUCCAUAUCGUGCAACUUGAAAUUAAAGAGAAACAUGCAUGAUAUGUGUUUUCUUUCUUUCUUAGAAGCUCCUGUGUGAAGGUAUCCUUAUAUUAAUUAUUUAAUAUUAGAGAUUCAUGCGCAACAUUUUUUGUGUGUAUCAUCAUUAAAAAACCUAUUACAUCGCAAAGCAUAUGGUGAUGAAGGACGUAUAAUGAUUAUAAUAAUAUAAAUUCAAUUUGUAGAGGUUACAAUCUGGAGUGAAUGGUCACAAUGGUCAAAUUGCAAGACGACUAUGACUUGUAGUCAUGGAUACAAAAUCCGUGAAAGAACAUGUGCUGGUACUUGUAUUGGUGAUAAUCGUGAAAAACAGCACUGUUUCAUUAGGUGCCCAGAUCACAGUAAGUGUUCACAGAAUAAUUUAUUUUACGCAUCUAUCAAUGAAGUAUUUUAAUCGGUAUUCAUCUUCCAUGUUCAAAUAUUGAAAGAUAUAGAUAUAUGAAGAUGUGGUAUGAGUUCCAAUGAGAAAACUCCCCAUUCAAGCAACAAUUCAUAAAAGUAAACCAUUAUAGGUCAAGGUACGACCUUCAACACGGAGCCAUGACUCACACCGAACAGCAAGCUAUAAAGGGCCUAAAAAAAUAUUAGACGUGUAAAUAUUAAUGGAACCCAAUCAGAAAAGUUCGGAUUGUUUAUAGAAAGAACAUCAUCAAUAUAUCUGAAAGUGAAAUUAAAAAAUCUGGCUUCUUUGAUUCUCUUGUUUUUUACAAGUGUCUGGAGGAACUCCGAUUCAUAUGAAAAUAAGAAGAGGUCUGCAAGAAGAGGCACACAGUUUGUUCCCAUAGGAAUGCCGACAAAUUGUUGGAAAAGUCUACCUCCAAACUCAACAAAUAUGUUGUCGAUAGGAAACUCCAGCAUACUGACCACUUGUUCUUCUGUGUAGCAUAUUUUACCUUUUUGUUUGUCACUAUUUACGAAAUAUGCCUUAUGAAAUCCCAAAGUAAUAAAUUUAUAGCGUAUGCUACCAUUUUUAUGUUGAAAGGCAUUGUGGAUUAUUUCUUUUAUGCAUUCAAAGCAGUACGCCAGUAAAACCAGUAAAACCAUUCAAACGGGAAAACGAACGGUCUAAUCUAUAUAAAAAUGAGAAAUGAGAAACACCUAUAUUCAAAACGUAUCAAAUUGACGUUAACGUUUCUUUCAGAGUUUUUUUUUCGAAUAUGUACAAGUAGUAGUUAAAGAAGAACACUUGCAUAUUAAUGUAUACCAAACGAAGGACGAAACUUAUUUUUCUGGCAUUAUAUACAUUCAUAACUAAUAAUCCAAAUAUGUUAGAAAUCUAAUAGAUGUUAUUUCCCUUAGCAUGCAUAAUUAACUGUUAGUUAUGAAAUAAUAAAGCAUAAAACCGUGAACUUAAAAGAUUUAAAGAGAUAAUGUAGCAUUUUAAACCAUGAAUAGUAGGCAGGAUUAAGAUAUUUAAAUAAACUCAUCAUAAAUAAUAUGCUUGAAUUUUUGUAUUUGCGAUGGACGCUCGUUCCAUCUGCAAAAGUAAGACUCAUCACUGACGGUCGAAUAAAAAUAAUAACGCUUAAUAAAGUAGGAAGUUGAAGAGCAUUUAGGACUAACACUUUUACAAGUUUUGCCAAAUAUAGCUAAGGUAAUCUAUUCCUAUAAUCUGAGAUUUUUUUUUAAUAAUGUCUUCAAACUCAGUUUUAAAGAACUGAAACCCUUUCCUUAAAAUCAUACAUCAGCGAUCUGUCGACAUGUGCAGCUUAAUUUUAUUUUAAUGAUUGCCGUUCUGUCGUUCAUUAAAUAUAUUAUCAAAUCAUCAUUUUUUAUUUCUAGAUCAGACAACAGAAACAAUCAGAGCUACGUCGGAGCAAGGUAAACAGUUAUAAAAAGUAAAAUCACAAAAAUACUGAACUAAGAGGAAAAUCAAAUUGGAAAGUCCCUAAUCACAUGGCAAAAUCAAAUGACAAAACACAUAAAAAACGAAUGGAAAAUAACUGUCAUAUUCUUGACUUGGUACAGGCAUUUUCAAAUGUAGAAAAUGGUGAAUUAAACCUGAUUUUUAUAGCGUUAAACCUCUCACUUUGUACGACAGUCUCAUCAUAUUCCGUUAUAUUUACAAUGAUGCGGGAACUAAACAGACAUGAUAAAUAAAAUAGUCAAAACAUGGGUACAGCAGUCAUCAUCGUGUAACAAUUUUAAAAGAAACAAUUCGCGUGUCUGACGUCAGAAAAUUUAUACGUGACAUAUUUUUUUGUCGUUCAAUGUAAUAAAUGUUUUACCGUUGAGUUCAAACUUUAUUUAGAAAAAAACGUGUUUUAUUAUCUUUUGAAAAUGAUAACACUAUAAUAUUUCUGGUACCAAUAAGUAAUACACGACUUUAAUUUAUAAAACAAAUAUCAUCUGAUUAUAACAUGAACAUCACAAACAAUCGUGUUCGACUGGGCGCACAAAUUCUGUUCAUUACAUAUCUAAAUUAUUAAAUGAUCUAUCAACAGAAAAUUAAAAAAAAACUGAGAUGCAGUUAAACCAAGUAUGACAUUUAGCAAAGUUUUAUAAUUUAAGUAUGAUUGAAGUCUAAUCCGUUUAAAAUACAACACUUGCUAUUUCAAACAGCGGUAUACUACUGUUGCCUUUAUGUAUAUGUCUAAUACAUUGUAACAAAACGGAUAAUAAGUCUUAAUUGUGUUGGAAUACCUAACAUCAUAAUCAUGAAGUUUUAAAUACACUAUCAAAUAAUGAGUAUUAAGAUAAGAUAAAGUCUUAAAAAGGACUAGAGAUUUAGCCGAAAUUCGUUUAUGAAUUAACAAAUGGUGAAGAAGGUAACAUGUAAAUAUAUAUCAAAGUGUGAUGUUACAAUACAAAGGGUAAAUAAUUAUAAAAAAAAAUGAAAUGUGGUAUGAUUGCUAAUGAGACAACUCUUCACAAGAGACCCAAAUGCACAGAAGUUAACAGCCCUAUAUUACCGUACUCUCUUCAGCAAUGAGCAAAGCCCAUAUGACAUAGUCAGGUAUAAAAGGUCUCGAAAAAAUAAAUGUAAAAUAUUCAAACGAGAAAACUAAAAGCCUAGUUUUUUGUAAAAUACGUAGCACAUCAACGUACGACAAACACUGAUAUACAGGCUUUGGACAGGCACACACAUACAUAAUAUGACGGGGUUCAAUAUUUCUGCGAGAUCUAACCUAGCACAGUAGGUUAACAGCGUAAGAAAAGACUAUUUAAAUCAGUUGUAAAUGCUUAACUCAUCAUAUGGAUACAAAUAGAAAUAUAUAUAACAAAAACACGUGGACGUGAUUGGGUACGUGUACAUCCUAACAAGUCACAGAAUGGCCAUGUAAGGCCUAUUCGUAAUAAUUUUAAAACUUACAUUGAGAAUAAGAUAUGAAACUAGCAAUGUUAGACUCCUUCAGGUUUGUCAAAAGAAAUUUCAUUCAUUCUGAAAUCAAUGAUAAUAUUUUCACUGUUUUUUUGUUGUAGAAGAUUUUUGAAUCAUACAAUUAUAAAAAAUGCAAUUUAGUUCUGUCGUGAGUUUUAUAUAACCAUCAUUUUUAUUUGUUAGAUCUAACAACACAACUAGUCAUAACUACUACUAAACCAGGUAUACAUUUUAUAAAUAUCUUUCUGUUGCGUUAAAUAUUUGUUUCGAGUACAAGUCUUUCUCUUAAGUAGAAAACUGACUAAAAAGCUGUCGAAACCCGGUAAUGAAUUAGAAAAUAUCAAAACGACAUAUGUCGCUGAACUGCCUACAUUCGUAGCUUUAUUUUAUUGAUGAUUAUAAUGAUAUCUUUAUUUAGUUCAAAAGGAGAAUACAUGCAAAUAUCAACCGAAGGGUAUGAUGUUACAAUACCAAGGGUUAAUAAGUCACAGAAUAACCACGUCAGGCCCAACUCGUAUUUAAUUUUAAAAAGUUACAUUGUGAAACAGAUACAAAACUAGCAAUGUUGGAAUCUUUCAGGUUUUUAAGUAUUUUUAGUUCAUCCAUUUUAAUAAUCAAUAAUAAUACUAUUCCCGUUAUUUUCUUGUAGAAGGUUUGUGAAUUAAAUAACAUGAUGUAAAACAACUAUGAAAUUGAUAGUUUUAUAGUGUAAGUAUGAUAGGAGUUGAAACUCCUAACUAUAAUCAUGAUGUUAGAAUAAAGUUAAUACUGAACUAGCAAAAUUGGCCUCUUACUGGUUUUAAUUUGUGUGUAACUACUUUUAAUUAUAUAAUCCUAAAAAAAUCAGUUUAUGUCUGUUGUUCGUCAUAUGUUAUAUCUUAUCAUCAUUUAUAUUCUUAGCCCAAACAACACAACCAGUCAGAACAACGCCUUUGCAAGGUAUACAUUUGAUCAAAUAUUUUAUAGUUGAGUUAAAUACUUAUUUCUGUGUAAAUUGUUUGUAUGAAGAAAUGUGUGAUGCUUUUAAGUAGUAACAUAUACCUUUGCAUUGAAAAUGAUGAUUUUAUAAGUUUUCUAAUCCAAUAAUUAGUACACUUUUUGUAAACACACUUACGGUUUGAUUGUUUUUAAUGUUUUUGUUUACUUUCAUAUAAAUCGAUCAUGGAUGCAUUAGCCUGAAAUAUUGCUACCGCUUGUUGCUUAAGUAUUUGAAAGUUCAAAACCAAAUACAAACAUAUUAAGUCUUUUAAAACCAGAAAUACUAUAAAUUAAGCUAGACCUUUGCAAGAAUAAAGGAUAUGCAUAAUGUCAUCAAAAAGUCUAGAAUCUUUUGAAUACAUUAAAAUUAUAAAAAAAACUAGUUUUGAAAUAAAAUUCUUUAGAGCUCAACAUGUUAUAUUUGUCGUAGAUAUGCUGUCACAUCUGACGUUUUAUCCAUAUCAACUUCUGAUAUGCACACCAUAAAUUGAAAAUCAUGUGCAGUCAAUGGCAAUAAGACACAAUUAAAAUUAAAAACCAAUUGUUCAGAGAACAAUUGAAAGUCUUUCCAAACUAAAGUAAUUUGGAUAAGAAGGUAGUUUCUUUAUACUGAUGCGAUAAAUGAUGGUUUAAUUAUAUUUUUGAGUGAUAUAAGGGAGAUAAUAUGCUACUUCCGGUGAAAUUAAUGUCACAUCCGGUCUCAUAUGAUAGCUUCUUUCACACUGAUUCCAAAAAAUAUAUAGUUUCUAUAUACUUUUGUAUGUAGAAUGGGAGAUAAUUGGCCACUUCCGGUUUGUUGGAAGUCAUUUUAAGUCUUCAGUAAUCUGUUAAUGUAUCUAUAUGACAAAAUAUAUGGAUUCUGGGUACUUUUAGGUGAAAGAAAUUGCAAAAAUAGCUACUUCCGGUUUUCUAAAGGUCACUUCCGGUAGCUAUUUUUCAAGGUCAUUAGUCACUUAACCUUUUGUAUGAGGUCAAAUGUUUUUAAUAACUUAUUGAAGUAUAUCAAUACUCAUACAAGAAUUUAAAUGUAUAAAUGAUUUAAUUGUUAGAUAAAGUAAAUUUUUUCAAAAAGGACUUUUAGUUUUUUUUUUCUAAGUUCGAAAAUAAAGCAAAAUCAAAUUUAGAACUUGACUUGACCUUUGACCUUGACCUAAUUUUCUAAGUUAGGAAUCAGGGGACUCAAAUAAAAACAUUCCAGGGUUAUACGGUUAACGGUUUAUGAGUUAAAAAAACAUACCGACAAAUUUAUUCCGUAAAGAUAGAUAACUCCUAUAAAAUUUCAUCGAAUCGCUUCGAUCCAAAUUAGCCAAAAUUUUCUGAGGAUGUAACGAACAAUUUGUAAAAAGAAUUUUGUCGCUAUCUUUUUUUGUUACGAAGGAGAUGCACACACAUGAUAAACAGUGAAUAGGGAGAUAACUCUUACAAAGAAA